rnacentral:rRNA from 1 species
UACGGGGGGGGCAAGCGUUGUUCGGAAUUACUGGGCGUAAAGGGCGCGUAGGCGGUUCGCUAAGUUGGAUGUGAAAACUCUGGGCUCAACCCAGAGCCUGCAUCCAAAACUGGCGGGCUAGAGUUCUGGAGGGGGUGGCGGAAUUCCUGGUGUAGCGGUGAAAUGCGUAGAUAUCAGGAGGAACACCGGUGGCGAAGGCGGCUACCUGGACAGAAACUGACGCUGAGGCGCGAAAGCUAGGGGAGCAAACAGG